CAGCUCAGAGGAGUGUCAUGUUUUUAAACGAUGGUGGUUUCUACAAAAGCUGACUUAAGGAGAUGCUGGGCACAAGAUCUGACUGGAAGAAAUCAAGAGGAAAGGGUGUCCGAGUGGUUCUGCUCUGAGCGAGAGAGCACAAGCAGAGGGAGCGACAGAGGGAGAGGGAGAAGCAGACUCCCUGCUGAGCAGGUGGGGCUCCCGCGGCAGGUGUCCGACAGCUCAGUAUUGGAACCAGAAGUUCAAUGGUGAAAGCUACAGCCACCGGAUGCCAGCAACAGAACUACAGGGGCAACCAGACCUUUUUACAAGUGCUACUAACAACGCGUCGACUCUCCUUCCUUUGGCCCUGCCACCGAUCACGGUUGCCAUCGCAUGUGCUGAUGGAACCACCAAUCCUCUGAUGUGGUUUCUGAGGGAAAGCAGCUGUUUGGCCUCAUGUUUACGAACACCGGGGUCUCCUAUCGCUUAUACUUGUGUUUGAAACCAAACACCUUGGCCAGUCUGUGUCGACCAGGGGUGGUACAAGAAGGCACUGUCCAUCUUGGGUGAGUUUUUGUACCAUCACAAAAGAGAAGACAGUCUUAUAAAAGAAAAUUAAACAACGCUG